rnacentral:tRNA from 1 species
GCCCGCGUAGCUCAGUGGAUAGAGCGUCUGCCUCCGGAGCAGAAGGCCGUAGGUUCGAGUCCUAUCGCGGGCA